ensembl:snRNA U2 U2 spliceosomal RNA
AUCGCUUCUCGGCCUUUUGGCUAAGAUCAAGUGUAAAUCUCUGCCUAAUAAAUCCUUUUCUGCUUCUUGGCAUGUCCUAAAAAUUUUUUCCAUGCCAGGAGUCAGUGAACCUGCAACUUAAUUCCAUAGGUACGGUGGGUUUAAC